UGGGCCCGUCUAGUGGAUAACAAGAUGCAUCGAUCCUUACCGCGCGAGCGCCAUCGGAACGCGCGCAGGAUAGAUUUUCCCAACAAAAUUGCCUCGAUACAGCCAGCGGCGCAUCUCGCCGCCGAAGAAGUCCGCAGUUCCAUCUCUCUGCCACCUCCCACCCGCCUCGCCUUGUGCGCUAUCGAGCUGCUACACUUCGGCACUUCCUCUGAUAAUGGUGUCCAGCCUGAAUGGGAUGUCUGUUGGAUAUUUGCUUGCUGACAAUACCAUGGAGUACCCUACGAGGUGAGAGGGUCCCUCCUGCGUCGGGUUUGUGUGGUCUGGUUCCGUGUACAUUUCCUGUGCACACUCCAUCCAUGGUAGUUUCAUGUAUACAUCUCUGAUUGCUUGUCGAAAAUCGGAAAUCGAAUAUAGAGGUAUGAUGUAUAAACUCUUUUGAUCCUGUACUAUCCAGUAGGAUUAGUUCCUCAUUUAUUUUGGCUAUACUAUGCACUUCUUUUGCCUAAAAGGUGCCUGUUGUUCCAUCUUAUCCACAAAGUUCUUAAUAAAACUGUAAACACCCUAAUUUUCUCGUUAAUCUUUUGAGAAACAUAGCCAAUUUUCUUGGAUUUUUAGAUAGCUGCAGAUGGUAGUGUCAGACUGUCAGUAACGUGUGGCUUCUGUUUCAAAUAUUUCAGCAAUUACUGGACCCCCCAAAAAAACGAUUUGGGGAUGGUUGCUUCAGUGUGAUCGCUAUUAAAUUUUAAAUAGUGGGGAUGCCAUUUCCAUCCAUUCAUCUCUUCCUCUAGCUUGUCUGAAAGUUAUGAUACAGCAGGGCCUCUUUGUUUCAGGUUGGAUGAAGACGGAGAACAAGGUGGCCUCUUUGUUUGACUGAUAUAUUUGGCCUCUUUUGCCAAUACAAGAAGAUAAUGGUGUCCAGCCUGAAUGGGAUGUCUGUUGGAUAUUCGCUUGCCGACAAUACCAUGGAGUCCCCUACGAGGUUGGACGAAAACGAAGAACAAGGUGGCCUCUUUGUUUCACUGAUAUAGUUGGUCUCUUUUGCAAAUGCAAGAAGAUGAAGCAAAUCUGUAGAUUAUUGCAACUAUCAGAAAUGGGCAAGCGCUUGCGGCAGGGCAAGGACACCUCCAGGACAUACUGAAAAGCCCUGGCAGUACUUCAAGUUGUGCAAAUCACUUCAGCCAUGUGAUGUACUCCCUCCGUAAAGAAAUAUAAGAGCGUUUAGAUCACUAAAAUAGUGAUCUAAACACUUCUAUAUUUGUUUACAGAGGGAGUAUUUAUCUGCUGGUUGUAAAUUUGUAAUAGAAUGCAGAGUAGUCUCCCUUUGAAAAAAGAAAGGCAGAGAGAGACAGUCCUCUAUUGUCCCCUUUCUUGUAACAUGAACAAUUUUCAUCAUAAGAGCAAAUCGAUCCGACUGCUCCACAUCACACUGGAGUAGGUGCAUUUAGCUACUAA